AAGUCGUAACAAGGUUUCCGUAGGUGAACCUGCGGAAGGAUCAUUAACACGUAUCCAACGUUAAACCCCCCCGUGCACUUUCAAUAUACACAUCGCUUCGUGACCCCUCUUGUGUCGGGAUUGAUGGUCGGGAAAAACAGGGAUCUAGGGAGUUGGUUGUCGGGGGAGAACCUCGCGAAAUGGUUUGGCACGCCGAGAGGCGGGGACCAAUCCUGGUUGCGAUGUAAACGUGGUCUCCACUUCAACUUGUUUAGUACCUUUUGUCCUCUACCCGUACCGCUUGCCGCCACGAUUGGGAUCUUGUCGCACCCGUUUUCUUAUAACCGCAGAGCUGGAAUACCCGAACAACUGUUAACAAUGGAUAUCUUGGCUCUC
rnacentral:misc_RNA from 1 species